rnacentral:piRNA from 1 species
UNGGUGACUCUACUGCCAAGUGCUUUCCCA